CCUACGGGAGGCAGCAGUGGGGAAUAUUGGGCAAUAGGCGCAAGCCUGACCCAGCAAUGCCGCGUGAAGGAAGAAGGCUUUCGGGUUGUAAACUUCUUUGACAGGGGAAGAGCAGAAGACGGUACCCUGAAAACAAGCCACGGCUAACUACGUGCCAGCAGCCGCGGUAAUACGUAGGUGGCAAGCGUUGUCCGGAUUUACUGGGUGUAAAGGGCGUGUAGCCGGGACGGCAAGUCAGAUGUGAAAUCUGGAGGCUCAACCUCCAAAUUGCAUUUGAAACUGUUUUUCUUGAGUACUGGAGAGGCAGACGGAAUUCCUUGUGUAGCGGUGAAAUGCGUAGAGAUAAGGAGGAACACCAGGGGCGAAGGCGGUCUGCUGGACAGCAACUGACGGUGAGGCGCGAAAGCGUGGGGAGCAAACAGGAUUAGAUACCCCGGUAGUC
rnacentral:rRNA from 1 species